UGGAGAUAAAGGAAGAAUACAGUAGCGAAUAAUAAAGAGAAAAUAAUUCAUGUGUCCAGGAUGAGUGCAGCCUUUAUAGGGAUGAAGAAUAUUUGACCAUGAACACCACUAGAAGGCAAAAAAGUGUCUAUUGUUCCUAAAAUAAGUAGGAUCUUCUUUAGCAGUCCUUAGGUAAUCUGCCUGUGCAGUGAUCUAAAGGUGUACCCUGCUUUCUGUUUUUGAUGUGUUCAUGCUCUCUGAUUCACAGCCCUGGCUGCAUGCUUGAUGGUGGGAGGAAGAAGGACCCCACUGGAGUGCAAAGGUUGGUCUGAUUCUUAGAAAAUAUCUACAGAGUGCAACGAAGUUCUUCACAGCAAAGUCAUGACUGGGACCUUCCCUCCUUCAGGCUAACUCAACAGAUCAUGUCAUGGCACACAAGAAAUGUGAUUCUGCAGAACUGCGCAAUCCAAAGAUAAUGAAAAUUCAUAAAGAAUUGAUAAAAAACAGAGGAAGUAUUAGGGAUAUUCCUGAAGAAGCUGUAUCAGUAGGGGAGUUUCUAUUACAGGUUGUGUCCUUUGCAUGA
rnacentral:lncRNA from 1 species